UACGAAGGGGGCUAGCGUUGUUCGGAAUCACUGGGCGUAAAGCGCACGUAGGCGGUUUUUUAAGUCAGGGGUGAAAUCCCGAGGCUCAACCUCGGAACUGCCUUUGAUACUGGGGAUCUGGAGUCCGGGAGAGGUGAGCGGAACUGCGAGUGUAGGGGUGAAAUUCGUAGAUAUUCGCAAGAACACCAGUGGCGAAGGCGGCUCACUGGCCCGGAACUGACGCUGAGGUGCGAAAGCGUGGGGAGCAAACAGG
rnacentral:rRNA from 1 species